AGGAAAACCUUGGAAUUCCUGUUGUGGCUCAGCAGGUUAAGGACCAGACAUCGUCUCCAUAGGAUGCAGGUUCAAUCCCUGGCAUCACUCAGUGGGUCAGGGAUUGUCUCCAUAGGAUGCAGGUUCAAUCCCUGGCCUCACUCAGGAUCCGAUGUUGCCAUGCCUGUGAUGUGAGUGGCAGCUGCAGCUCUGAUGCAGCCCCUGGCCCAGGAACUUCCAUAUGCCACACGUGCAGCCAUGAAAAGAAAAAAGAAAACCUUGAUAGAAAAAAUAGGCAAGGAGUUCCCACUGUGGCACGGUGGGUUAAGAAUCCACUGCAGCAUCUCAUGUCAAUGUGGAGAUGAGGUUCGAUCCCCACCCCAGCGCAAUGGCUUAAAGGAUCCAGUGCUGCAGUAGCCAAAGCACAGGUCGCAGCUGUGGCUCAGAUUCACUCCCUAGCCCAGGAAAUUCCAUAUGCUGCAGGUGCGGCCAUAAAAUGAAAAAAAGUGAAAGAAAGGAGGGAGGGAAGGAAAGUAAGAAAAAAAAAAUAGGCAAAGUAACACAAAGAGGCAAUUGACAAAAAAUAAAAAUAGGCCAUAAAUAUGUAAAAAGCUGUUUGGCCUCACUAACGUAGCAGCCACCAUUGGUCACCUACUCCAAGUCAAUUCCCACCUUCUCCCUUGACUGUUUGAACACCAAUCCCAUCGGCAAACAAGUUGGGGAGAGUGUGGGAUCUAAAGCUGGUCAAUGAGCGGGGAGGGAGGUCUGCCAGGAGGCUGCCAGGGAAGGUUUCUGAUGCUCCCCAUCUCUGUAGCUGACACAACAGAACUUCUUGCUCAUGCAAAGUCCAACAACGGCAUUCCUGGCUGGGUGCUCGGUCCAUGCGGUCCUGCUCAGGGAGUCACUCAGACCCUAAGAUCCUUCCUCCGUGUGGAUCUGCCAUCCUCAAAAUAUACUCCCAGGAGUUUCCCUCCUGGUGUAGUGGAAAUGAUCCAACUAGAAUCCAUUAGGAUGUAGGUUCGAUCCCUGGCCUCACUCAGUGGGUUGGGGAUCCAGCAUUGCUGUGCACGGUAGUGUAGGUCGCAGAUGCAGCUCGGAUCUGGCGUUGCUGUUGGUACUGGAAUGAUGAUAUCGGAAUCCAGGUUCUUGUUCACGGCAGUCGAAGAAUGAGCUCCACGAACACACAGGCAGCAAGCAAGCAAGCAAAAUCUUUAUUAAAGGAAAGCAAAUAGCUCCCAGGGUUGCUGGGAGCAGGGAAAAGGGCCCCCUUUCUCUAUUGCCCUUAAAGGGGGGGAGGGUACCAACAUGGGGUCCAGAAAGAUGUGGUUUUUUCUCCCAUUGGCCUUGCUCAAUUACCCAUAUCAGUCCUUGUCCAAUAGGGUCUUAGGGGUGGAAACAUCCCAUAAGUCUCAUAGUCUCUCUGUGCUUUUCUUCCCGUAGACUGAGUCACAGGGGACUAGGGGUUAAUGUCCAUCUGGGCGCAGGUACACUCCCUAUAGUAAACAAGGCCUGUGGGGAUGUUACUCCCUGGAGCCCAUAAGCCACAAAUGUUAAUCAGUGGCCAUAUCGAAGAAGGCAUCGAAGCUCCUGCUCCUACACUGACUACCUGAGUUAUGCUCAGUGUGGCUCUGGCGUCAGCUGGCAACUGUAGCUCAGAUUCAGCCCCCAGCCUGGGAACUUCCAUAUGCUGUGGGAGAGGCAAGACGAUAACCACAAAGGCAAGCACUGGGACAAGCCCCAUGGUUCCACCCCCUCGUAGAGCACCUUGCUGCCUGCUCGAAGGUGGAAAACAAAAUGCAUUCCCCAGACCCCCUUCGGCUCUGUGCUGCCCACGCCCUUGCUUCCACCAACAGCCGCACCUGAGAUCUAUGGGCAAAAGUGAGGCCAAGCCCUGCUUCUGCUUCAGGCGG
rnacentral:lncRNA from 1 species